UACGUAGGGUGCGAGCGUUAAUCGGAAUUACUGGGCGUAAAGCGUGCGCAGGCGGCGCGUUAAGACAGGUGUGAAAGCCCCGAGCUUAACUUGGGAAUUGCGCUUGUGACUGGCGUGCUGGAGUGUGGCAGAGGGAGGUGGAAUUCCACGUGUAGCAGUGAAAUGCGUAGAGAUGUGGAGGAACACCGAUGGCGAAGGCAGGUCUCUGGGGCAUUAACUGACGCUGAGGAGCGAAAGCAUGGGGAGCGAACAGG
rnacentral:rRNA from 1 species